UACAGAGGUCCCAAGCGUUGUUCGGAUUCAUUGGGCGUAAAGGGUGUGUAGGUGGCGCUGUAAGUCGGGUGUGAAAUCUCGGGGCUUAACUCCGAAACUGCAUUCGAUACUGCGGUGCUUGAGGACUGGAGAGGAGACUGGAAUUCAUGGUGUAGCAGUGAAAUGCGUAGAGAUCAUGAGGAAGACCAGUGGCGAAGGCGGGUCUCCGGACAGUUCCUGACACUGAGACACGAAGGCCAGGGGAGCAAACGGG
rnacentral:rRNA from 1 species